CAUGCAAGUAGGACGCACAGUUUAUACCGUAGCUUGCUACACCAUAGACUGUGAGUUGCGAACGGGUGAGUAACGCGUAGGUAACCUGCCUAUUAGAGGGGGAUAACUAUUGGAAACGAUAGCUAAUACCGCAUAACAGUAUGUAACACAUGUUAGAUGCUUGAAAGAUGCAAUUGCAUCGCUAGUAGAUGGACCUGCGUUGUAUUAGCUAGUAGGUAGGGUAAUGGCCUACCUAGGCGACGAUACAUAGCCGACCUGAGAGGGUGAUCGGCCACACUGGGACUGAGACACGGCCCAGACUCCUACGGGAGGCAGCAGUAGGGAAUCUUCGGCAAUGGGGGGAACCCUGACCGAGCAACGCCGCGUGAGUGAAGAAGGUUUUCGGAUCGUAAAGCUCUGUUGUUAAGGAAGAACGAGUGUGAGAAUGGAAAGUUCAUACUGUGACGGUACUUAACCAGAAAGGGACGG
rnacentral:rRNA from 1 species